rnacentral:lncRNA from 1 species
CUCCUCUAAAGCACCAUUGACGAGUGCCAAUCUUCAGGUCAAGCUCGCCGAAGAAGCGAAGUCAGAACACUUCCAAGCUCCCUCCUCGUUCCGCGACUUUAGUUUAGACAUUUCUCCGACCCCCUCUUCAGCUAAUUGUGUGGUAUGUGUUUUUUUUUUUUUUUUUUUGCUUUCAAAAGCUGCUCAGCCUUCUAUUGUAAAGACUAAUUUAU